rnacentral:rRNA from 1 species
GUGUGCGAUCAUAUUAGUAUGAAUGCAUGGGAUCCCAUCGGAACUCCAAAGUUAAGCUCGUUUAGGCGAGACUGGUUAUAAGACGAGCUUUGUCGCAGGAC